rnacentral:rRNA from 1 species
AAAGGAAUUGGACGGGGCCCGCACAAGCGGUGGAGCAUGCGGUUUAAUUCGACGCAACGCGAAGAACCUUACCAGGGCUUGACAUCCCCUGACCGCGUAUGAAAGUACGUUUUCACCUCGGGUGACAGGGAGACAGGUGGUGCAUGGUUGUCGUCAGCUCGUGUCGUGAGAUGUUGGGUUAAGUCCCGCAACGAGCGCAACCCCUACGUUUAGUUGCUAACGCGCGAAGGCGAGCACUCUAGACGAACUGCCGUUGACAAAACGGAGGAAGGUGGGAUGACGUCAAAUCAUCAUGCCCCUUAUGUUCUGGGCUACACACGUGCUACAAUGGCCGGUACAGACGGACGCAAAGCCGCGAGGUGGAGCAAAUCCUAAAAAGCCGGUCUCAGUUCGGAUUGCAGGCUGCAACUCGACUGCAUGAAGUUGGAAUCGCUAGUAAUCGUGGAUCAGCCAAGCCGCGGUGAAUACGUUCCCGGGCCUU